AUGGCGGCGCUGCAGGGAGGAGGGGAAGGAAACAGGAGCAGCGCUAGGCGCGAUGGGAGUUGUAGUCCUGGCGGUGAUCACGUGGUCAGAACGACGGUGUGUGAUUGGUCGCGAGGGGUCACCGGGCGGUUCGCCGGUGAUGGAGGCCGGCCGCCAUUUUGUGGCUGCUGUGCCGCGCCCCGUGCGGGAAGGGGAGUGGCGGCGGCAGCGGCCCCAGUCUGGAAGCCAGUGGGUUCUCCCAGUCAAGCUUGUGAACCAGCACGCAGACGAAGGAUGUUUGGAUGGAAGUGGAUCCACCUCGUCCAGAACAGACCUGGGACUCCCGUGGCAUGUCUUUGCUCUCUGCUCUCCAAGCGCACAAAGAGCGUCGCAGGAGUGUCCGGCCAGCCCCUUACUCGUCAUCGCGCAGGCUCCAUCCCAAGCAUUAGCUUGGAGCCCCCAAACACCAUGGACGUGCCGCAGGCUUACCUGCAAGACGUCCUGGCAAUAAACCACUCUGUUGCCGACUCUCAGGGGUUGUGUGAGUGCUUCUUUCCCAUCCCCCAGCCCUUGUGCCAGAGAUGGCAUCCCUUCUGUACAGGGCCUCGAGGAACAGCACAAGAGAGGACCCAGCUUCCUUCGGGCUGCUACACUGGGGUGACAGGAGGAGUCCCCGAGGGCCACCAUGCACCUCUAACAUUUGUGAAAAUAGACUGAGGGGUGAAAAUAAGAGUGUGUAAGCAAUUAGAGGUGGCUAAUUUCUUAUCCUAGGAGUGAGCUUCUCUAGCUGAGUACUUGGUGAAGACAGACGUGGAGACGGCUCAGGUACUCAACAACUUCUUUGCCUCCGUCUGCACUGGUAGGCAGGCUUCCCAAGUCUUUCAUUUCCCUGAACCCGUAGAUGGAGGCUGGGGGAGCAAAGUCCCACCCACUGUAAGUGAAGAGCAGGUUCGAGACCACCUGAUGAAUCUAAACAACAGGUACAGGUCUGUGGGACCUGAUGACACGAAUCCCAGGGUGCGGAGGGAACUGGCUGAUGUAGUGGCCAAGCCUCUCUCCAUCGUAGUUGAAAAGUCCUGGCAGUCGGGCGAUGUCCCUGGUGAGUGGAGAAAGGGAAACAUCACGCUGCUUUUUAAAAAGGGAUGAGAAAGUCAGGUCGUUUAGAAAGCAGAGGAACUCCUACUUGGUGUGGGGAGGGAGAAGAAGACGAGAUAGGCUACUCCAAAGUGGCUGGGCCAUCAGAGGAACAGGAAGAUGAAGAGAAAAAUAUCAUAAGGGCAUCAGGAAAUUCCUGAGGCCUAUACCAGCCUGAGCCUAACUGGGAAUGAGUGGCAAAAGCACCCUAUUGGGACUGGCCCGGAUGGUCCAUGUAUCCUUGGCAUAGGCUACCUCAGGAGAGGAUAUUUUGAGGACCCUUUUUCUUCAGGGAGCCAAUCUGUGAAGGGGACAGGCAGAGAUGGUCUUUCCCCCUUGUUCACUUCCCCCUUCUCCUUCACUCGCCUCUUCUCCUCCAGGCUAGUUACGACAGCUAAUGUUUCUAUGAUUCUAUGAUACGUAGACAGUGGUUUCAGGGAAGUAGAAGUAGUGAAGCAGAGGACUGUGGCUGCAGGUAAAUACAUCAUGGAAGUCUGUUUGGGAAAAAAUAGAUGAGAAAGAGACUAAGGACAUAAAUUAUAUAGUUAGUGGAGUGGUUAUUGAAUAUCCAUGGGAUCAACAGCUUCAGAUUGAGUUUUGUGUUACUAUUCAAGCCUGGAUUCAGGAAGGCUUUUUGCUGUACGAAUGUGUGGUAUUCAAGUAUUUGCUGAAGUGCUUUUCAAACUGAGAAUGGCCUUAUAGGUGAACCCAUGUUUAUGGGUGUAUCUGAACUGGUGUCUUGAUAAAAGUAAAAUAGCAAUACAUCUGUCAAUUAAUCUCCAAAGUGCACACAAAUAUUUUAUCUGUUAAAACGCUUGGAAUGGGAAGUGACAAUAUAAUGAACGCUUUCAGGUUUUAUUUAUUGUGCUUUGUGUGGUGUUUAUUCUUUUGCCUCCCACUAAGGAAAAUAUAUUCGUUGAGAGUAUAAAUAUUUUUUCACCUCUCUUGCUCUUUUGGUUAAACAUUUCAUUAGUAAGACAAUGUCUGGGUGUUGUAUGGAGGCAAACCUUGGUUGGUGCUACAUGAGAUUAUGAUAAAAUUUAUUUAUGUUAGUUUGUAGUUUUUAAUUUCUUUGACACUGUUGAAAGAUUCAUCCAGCAAUUCACUUUUGCGCUGUGAAUAUAAAAAACAUAUUUUACAGUUAGAUACCAACUGCCUCUGGUUGUUUAUAUUUUUAUAUUCCCAUUACAUGAAAAAAAUAGUUUUAUCGUAUGGUAAGCUUAUAGAUAUGCACAUAUAUUCUACUUAAAGUUUUCUCUUUCUCAUCUAGUUAUAGAUAUGUAUUGAUAUGAAAUAAAUUUAAAAAUCCAUAGCCA
ensembl:lncRNA